rnacentral:rRNA from 1 species
UACGGGGGGGGGCAAGCGUUGUUCGGAAUUACUGGGCGUAAAGGGCUUGUAGGUGGCCAACUAAGUCAGACGUGAAAUCCCUCGGCUUAACUGGGGAACUGCGUCUGAUACUGGAUGGCUUGGAUUCGGGAGAGGAAUGCGGAAUUCCAGGUGUAGCGGUGAAAUGCGUAGAUAUCUGGAGGAACACCGGUGGCGAAGGCGGCAUUCUGGACCGAUAUUGACGCUGAGGAGCGAAAGCCAGGGGAGCAAACGGG